AUUGAACGCUGGCGGCAGGCCUAACACAUGCAAGUCGAACGAGUGGCGGACGGGUGAGUAAUGUCUGGGAAACUGCCUGAUGGAGGGGGAUAACUACUGGAAACGGUAGCUAAUACCGCAUACCAUCGGAUGUGCCCAGAUGGGAUUAGCUAGUAGGUGGGGUAAAGGCUCACCUAGGCGACGAUCCCUAGCUGGUCUGAGAGGAUGACCGGCCACACUGGAACUGAGACACGGUCCAGACGCCUACGGGAGGCAGCAGUGGGGAAUAUUGGCCAAUGGGCGAAAGCCUGAUGCAGCAAUGCCGCGUGUAUUAAGAAGGCCUUCGGGUUGUAAAGUACUUUCGUCGGGGAGGCGUUACCCACAGAAGAAGCACCGGCUAACUCCGUGCCAGCAGCCGCGGUAAUUC
rnacentral:rRNA from 1 species